CUUAUAUUCUGUAGCAAGGUUAACCGUAUAGGGGAGCCGGAGGGAAACCGAGUCUUAAUUGGGCGUUAAGUUGCAGGGUAUAGACCCGAAACCCGGUGAUCUAGCCAUGGGCAGGUUGAAGGUUGGGUAACACUAACUGGAGGACCGAACCGACUAAUGUUGAAAAAUUAGCGGAUGACCUGUGGCUGGGGGUGAAAGGCCAAUCAAACCGGGAGAUAGCUGGUUCUCCCCGAAAGCUAUUUAGGUAGCGCCUCGUGAAUUCAUCUCCGGGGGUAGAGCACUGUUUCGGCUAGGGGGCCAUCCCGGCUUACCAACCCGAUGCAAACUGCGAAUACCGGAGAAUGUUAUCACGGGAGACACACGGCGGGUGCUAACGUCCGUCGUGAAGAGGGAAACAACCCAGACCGCCAGCUAAGGUCCCAAAGUCAUGGUUAAGUGGGAAACGAUGUGGGAAGGCCCAGACAGCCAGGAUGUUGGCUUAGAAGCAGCCAUCAUUUAAAGAAAGCGUAAUAGCUCACUGGUCGAGUCGGCCUGCGCGGAAGAUGUAACGGGGCUAAACCAUGCACCGAAGCUGCGGCAGCGACGCUUAUGCGUUGUUGGGUAGGGGAGCG
rnacentral:rRNA from 1 species